rnacentral:rRNA from 1 species
GUGGGGAAUAUUGGACAAUGGGGGGAACCCUGAUCCAGCCAUGCCGCGUGUGUGAAGAAGGCCUUUUGGUUGUAAAGCACUUUAAGCGAGGAGGAGGCUACCGAGAUUAAUACUCUUGGAUAGUGGACGUUACUCGCAGAAUAAGCACCGGCUAACUCUGUGCCAGCAGCCGCGGUAAUACAGAGGGUGCAAGCGUUAAUCGGAUUUACUGGGCGUAAAGCGCGCGUAGGUGGCCAAUUAAGUCAAAUGUGAAAUCCCCGAGCUUAACUUGGGAAUUGCAUUCGAUACUGGUUGGCUAGAGUAUGGGAGAGGAUGGUAGAAUUCCAGGUGUAGCGGUGAAAUGCGUAGAGAUCUGGAGGAAUACCGAUGGCGAAGGCAGCCAUCUGGCCUAAUACUGACGCUGAGGUACGAAAGCAUGGGGAGCAAACAGGAUUAGAUACCCCUGUAGUCC